UUUGAAUUUUGGAUCAGACUCAGAUAUAUCUUUGGCCUGGUCCAAGCCUGACCCUAUAGUGGGCCCAAUACUGCUAGCUCGCAUCCAACCUAAAACCAGCAAUGCUCUAUUCAUAAAGAGACUAUGAUGACUACCCAUGCGAGAUGCGCCUAAAGAGUCUAAAGAGAGAUGGAGAUGAUACAUUUCUAUUCUUGUUGUUGUAGUUGUAGGACA
rnacentral:lncRNA from 1 species